rnacentral:rRNA from 1 species
AGUUUUCUUCCUGUCUUUGGAUUGCAGGAUGUUGGUGAGCCGCUCCUUGGCCGUCACCAGGUCGUUUUGCAGCUUGUCGUAGGCCUCUGCGCCAUCAGCAAGGACAGCAGUUACAGAUACAGAUACACAGACAGAAGUCAUCAAGCUAGCUUGGAUUAUUCAGCGAGUUUGAUGGGGCUAAGAUUUUGUUCACUGACCGACUCCCUCCCCGAUGACCUUCUGCAUCGCCUCCAGCUCGAUCAGCCUGUCUUCAUUUGCCUGCACCGCUGUCCUGGUGACCGCGAACUUGAUCUGCGCGAUCUCCCGCUGGAUGUGGUCGAAGAAGCCCUUGUUGAGCCUGGGGCGGAGCCUGCCGAUCUCGAUCUCGAUCUCCCGCGCGUCCGUGUCCAGGAAGAACUCCACCAGCCCGGCGUCCGUCUCAGGUAUCACCCGCGC